GAGCUCAGUGGCAGAACAUCUGCUUUGCAUGCAGAAGGUCUUGGGUUCAAUCCAUGGGACAUCCA